rnacentral:lncRNA from 1 species
GCCUUAUGCUGCAUUCUUAUUUUAGAUACUGUGACAAUUCUUAAAAUAGCCACCAAAGAGAAAAACGGGAGCCCUCUGCGACCGGCACCGCCGAGGGGAGGGCCGUCGCCGGGCACCCUCAGCACCUCUGCCUGGGGCCCCCGCUGUGCUGCCCUCACUCCCGCACCGGGAGCAGAGUCUUCCGGCAGAAAAUCUACAACCUGUCCGGACCCCCUGAGGCCCCGCGUGCGAGGUGGAGGUGCCCUGGAGGUGGAGGCAGAUGUGGCACCCGGAGUGUGUGUACCCGCCUCCAAACGCAGAGACGGCCGGAAUCUGACAGCUUUGUUGUAGGAAGACAGCUGGGUCAGCGCCGGCGCAGAAACGUCUGGAAUCGCAGAGUCAGAUGUUUCCUGGUACAGACACCGCUGCAGCAAGCACCCGUGAACAUGCUGAUUAAUCCAGACCUCUCGUGGACCGGCAGCUCUCCUGCAGAAUCUGAGCCUGCGCCAGUCCCCAAGGCGCACAAGACAUCACCCUUACCCCUCUGCUGAUGCUCCACUUGUCCCCGUUCACACGGCACCACAGAAUCUCUAGACACUUGAAGUCUUAAGAUAUGGAGACCUUUGCCUGUCAUGCUCUCCAAUGACUCUCACAGAUUAAAGAAAGAAAAUGAUUUCAUCCAUAUCUCUCCCUAUGGCAGUGUUAUAAAAAGUGGGACUAGGAAAGCAGGGAAAAUUAAAUGAUUUUUUUGUUAGUUGUCCUUUGAAUUAUUAGCAGUGUUAAUAUAGUACAAUAUGCACAUAAUUAGCAAGCCUUCCGAAUUUAUGAUAUGUACUUAUCCUUGUUCUUUUUAAUUACCCAGCACUCUAGUUGGAGGUAAAGCAGGGUGAUUCAACUGACGGCUAAACGUGUCAGAUGGUGACAAAAUGCACUAACCUGCCAGAGUGGAGAGAAGAAAAGCCUAGAAAUGCCAAGGAUGUUUUCAUCCCAUUAAAAGCAUAAAGGUUUCUCAAUGUAUUAUUCAUGUUAUAACCAUGCUACAAAC